UGGGGAAUAUUGGACAAUGGGCGCAAGCCUGAUCCAGCCAUGCCGCGUGGAUGAUGAAGGCCUUAGGGUUGUAAAGUCCUUUCGGCGGGGAAGAUAAUGACGGUACCCGCAGAAGAAGCCCCGGCUAACUUCGUGCCAGCAGCCGCGGUAAUACGAAGGGGGCUAGCGUUGCUCGGAAUCACUGGGCGUAAAGCGCACGUAGGCGGCUUUUUAAGUCAGGGGUGAAAUCCUGGAGCUCAACUCCAGAACUGCCUUUGAUACUGAGAAGCUUGAGUCCGGGAGAGGUGAGUGGAACUGCGAGUGUAGAGGUGAAAUUCGUAGAUAUUCGCAAGAACACCAGUGGCGAAGGCGGCUCACUGGCCCGGUACUGACGCUGAGGUGCGAAAGCGUGGGGAGCAAACAGGAUUAGAUACCCCUGUAGUCCCUGAGCGGGCUGGCAAGGCGCAU
rnacentral:rRNA from 1 species